UGGGGAAUAUUGCACAAUGGGCGCAAGCCUGAUGCAGCCAUGCCGCGUGUGUGAAGAAGGCCUUCGGGUUGUAAAGCACUUUCAGCGAGGAGGAAGGUGGUGAACUUAAUACGUUCAUCAAUUGACGUUACUCGCAGAAGAAGCACCGGCUAACUCCGUGCCAGCAGCCGCGGUAAUACGGAGGGUGCAAGCGUUAAUCGGAAUUACUGGGCGUAAAAGCGCACGCAGGCGGUUUGUUAAGUCAGAUGUGAAAUCCCCGGGCUCAACCUGGGAACUGCAUUUGAAAACUGGCAAGCUAGAGUCUCGUAGAGGGGGGUAGAAUUCCAGGUGUAGCGGUGAAAUGCGUAGAGAUCUGGAGGAAUACCGGUGGCGAAGGCGGCCCCCUGGACGAAGACUGACGCUCAGGUGCGAAAAGCGUGGGGAGCAAAACAGGAUUAGAUACCCUGGUAGUCCACGCUGUAAAACGAUGUCGAUUUUGGAGGUUGUGCCCUUGAGGCGUGGCUUCCGGAGCUAACGCGUUAAAUCGACCGCCUGGGGAGUACGGCCGCAAGGUUAAAAACUCAAAGGAAUUGACGGGGUCAUAGCUGUUUCCU
rnacentral:rRNA from 1 species